rnacentral:rRNA from 1 species
AGGACGAACGCUGGCGGCGUGCUUAACACAUGCAAGUCGAGCGGUAAGGCCUUUCGGGGUACACGAGCGGCGAACGGGUGAGUAACACGUGGGUGAUCUGCCCUGCACUUCGGGAUAAGCCUGGGAAACUGGGUCUAAUACCGGAUAUGACCUCCUAUCGCAUGGUGGGUGGUGGAAAGAUUUAUCGGUGCAGGAUGGGCCCGCGGCCUAUCAGCUUGUUGGUGGGGUAAUGGCCUACCAAGGCGACGACGGGUAGCCGACCUGAGAGGGUGACCGGCCACGACUGGGACUGAGACACGGCCCAGACUCCUACGGGAGGCAGCAGUGGGAAUAUGCACAAUGGGCAAAGCCUGAUGCAGCGACGCCGCGUGAGGAUGACGGCCUUCGGGUGUAACCUCUUUCAGCAGGACGAAGCGCAAGUGACGUACCUGCAGAAGAAGCACCGGCUAACUACGUGACCAGCAGCCGAC